rnacentral:rRNA from 1 species
AUGGAGAACGACGGCGUCCCCAACGGACCAGCGGCGCCGGCACCUACCCAGGGGACGCCGGUGGUGCGGGAGCAGGACCGGCUGAUGCCGAUCGCGAACGUGAUCCGCAUCAUGCGCCGUGCGCUCCCUGCCCACGCCAAGAUCUCCGACGACGCCAAGGAGGCGAUUCAGGAAUGCGUGUCCGAGUUCAUCAGCUUCGUCACCGGCGAGGCCAACGAACGGUGCCGCAUGCAGCACCGCAAGACCGUCAACGCCGAAGACAUCGUGUGGGCCCUAAACCGCCUCGGCUUCGACGACUACGUCGUGCCCCUCAGCGUCUUCCUGCACCGCAUGCGCGACCCCGAGGCGGGGACAGGUGGUGCCGCUGCAGGCGACAGCCGCGCCGUGACGAGUGCGCCUCCCCGCGCGGCCCCGCCCGUGAUCCACGCCGUGCCGCUGCAGGCUCAGCGCCCGAUGUACGCGCCCCCGGCUCCGGUGCAGGUUGAGAAUCAGAUGCAGCGGCCCGUGUACGCUCCCCCGGCUCCGGUGCAGGUUCAGAUGCAGCGGGGCAUCUAUGGGCCCCGGGCUCCAGUGCACGGGUACGCCGUCGGAAUGGCGCCCGUGCGGGCCAACGUCGGCGGGCAGUACCAGGUGUUCGGCGGAGAGCGUGUCAUGGCCCAGCAAUACUACGGGUACGGGUACGAGGAAGGAGCGUACGGCGCAGGUAGCAGCAACGGAGGAGCCGCCAUUGGCGACGAGGAGAGCUCGUCCAACGGCGUGCCGGCACCGGGGGAGGGCACGGGGGAGCCAGAGCCAGAGCCAGCAGCAGAAGAAUCGCAUGACAAGCCCGUCCAAUCUGGCUAG